CCUACGGGAGGCAGCAGUGAGGAAUAUUGGACAAUGGGCGCAAGCCUGAACCAGCCAAGUCGCGUGAGGGAUGACGGUCCUCUGGAUUGUAAGCCUCUUUUGUCGGGGAGCAAGGCCCGCCACGUGUGGCGGGAAGGAGAGUACCCGAAGAAAAAGCAUCGGCUAACUCCGUGCCAGCAGCCGCGGUAAUACGGAGGAUGGGAGCGUUAUCCGGAUGUAUUGGGUUUAAAGGGUGCGUAGGCGGAAGGUUGAGUCAGCGGGAAAAUGUCGGUGCUCAACACCGGCCUGCCGUUGAAACUGGUCUGCUUGAGUGAGCGAGAGGUAGGCGGAAUGCGUGGUGUAGCGGUGAAAUGCAUAGAUAUCACGCAGAACUCCGAUGGCGAAGGCAGCAUCCCGGCG
rnacentral:rRNA from 1 species